GGGCCAGUGGCACAAUGGAUAAUGCGUCUGACUACAGAUCAGAAGAUUGUAGGUUCAACGCCUGCCUGGCUUG
rfam:Alligator mississippiensis ScZkoYb_22, whole genome shotgun sequence.